AGGAAGAGAAAGCAAACGCGAUUGCCUUAGUAGCGGCGCGCGAAACGGAAGGACGGCACACCGAGAAGCUUAACUUUCGGGGUUGUAGAACUGCGACGUGGGACUUUAAAAGGAAAGAAGAAUUACCUGGGAAGGUAAGCCAAAGAGAGUAAUAGCCUCGUAUUUAAAAUUCUUUUGAGCCCUAGCAGUAUCCUGAGUACGGCGAGACACGCGAAAUCUCGUCGGAAUCUGGGAGGACCAUCUCCCAACCCUAAAUACUCUCUAGUGACCGAUAGUGAACCAGUACCGUGAGGGAAAGGUGAAAAGCACCCCGGGAGGGGAGUGAAAUAGAACCUGAAACCGUGUGCCUACAACAAGUUCGAGCCCGUUAAUGGGUGAGAGCGUGCCUUUUGUAGAAUGAACCGGCGAGUUACGAUAUGAUGCGAGGUUAAGUUGAAGAGACGGAGCCGCAGGGAAACCGAGUCUUAAUAGGGCGACUUAGUAUCAUGUUGUAGACCCGAAACCAUGUGACCUACCCAUGAGCAGGUUGAAGGUGCGGUAAGACGCACUGGAGGACCGAACCAGGGCACGUUGAAAAGUGCUUGGAUGACUUGUGGGUAGCGGAGAAAUUCCAAACGAACUUGGAGAUAGCUGGUUCUCUCCGAAAUAGCUUUAGGGCUAGCGUCGAUGUUAAGUCUCUUGGAGGUAGAGCACUGUUUGGGUGAGGGGUCCAUCUCGGAUUACCAAUCUCAGAUAAACUCCGAAUGCCAACGAGAUAUAAUCGGCAGUCAGACUGCGAGUGCUAAGAUCCGUAGUCGAAAGGGAAACAGCCCAGACCACCAGCUAAGG
rnacentral:rRNA from 1 species